AACGAACGCUGGCGGCAUGCCUAACACAUGCAAGUCGAACGAGUAUGGUCUAGCUUGCUAGAACCCAGCUAGUGGCAAACGGGUGAGUAACGCGUGGGAACCUUCCUAAUAGUACGGAAUAGCCGUUGGAAACGACGAUUAAUACCGUAUACGCCCUCCGGGGAAAGAUUUAUCGCUAUUAGAUGGGCCCGCGUUGGAUUAGCUAGUUGGUGGGUAAUGGCCUACCAAGGCAACGAUCUAUAGCUGGUCUGAGAGGAUGAUCAGCCACACUGGAACUGAGACACGGUCCAGACUCCUACGGGAGGCAGCAGUGGGGAAUAUUGGACAAUGGGCGAAAGCCUGAUCCAGCAAUGCCGCGUGAGUGACGAAGGCCUUAGGGUUGUAAAACUCUUUCAGUAGGGAAGAUAAUGACGGUACCUACAGAAGAAGCACCGGCUAACUCCGUG
rnacentral:rRNA from 1 species